rnacentral:lncRNA from 1 species
GACCUUUACGUAAAACAAUUUGGGAAGAUGAACCAUUGGUUUAGGGUAUUGCAAAGGAUUUCACACAAUUCUUAGGGCUCCGAAAGAUUUUGAAGAUUUGGUGUUGGAUGUUCAGUGAAUACGCAUGUUAAAUCUAGACUAGGUCUAACACUUCUCGUGGGAACCUACUCUAGUUUGACACAAUUUGUAACAUUUAGAAAUUAUCCAAGGUAUUUUUUU